rnacentral:lncRNA from 1 species
UCCAUUCAUUCAAUCCAUUACAAUGUUCAUUACAUGGAAAAAAUACCAAAUUUGACAACUUUGACCGAGUGUUGACUUUGGUCAACAGUUGACUUUAACCAAAUAUACUAAUUUUAUACUAACAACAAUGUAACAGAAGCAACAGCUAAUUCCUGAGCUAACAACCACUCUGCACUAACAUUCAAUAGCAAAUUUGCAAUGCAAUCACUAACAUCAUUCAUUCAGCAGAAAUGCAUCAGUUCUUAACAGAAAUCCAACAUUGCAUCAAUUGAUUUCAACAGCAUUACAUCACCAUUUGUGCAACAUAAUGACUCUUCUAGUAAGUUUUGAUUUGAUCCAAGUACGGUAAACCAAGGUCAGAGAUACAAGCAUAACAAUAUUUUACCAUACAAACUGACAAUAUUUUACCAUACAACAGGAUAACUUUAAUAGUGCCAUUGAAUUGUUCCUUACUAGCUAGGCAAUUAACAGUUAAUGGGUGCAGGGUGAAUAAAAUGAGUCAAAGGGAACAUAGCUAACAAGCAUGUUUUAGUUUAACUCAAUAACCUGUUAAUCAAGCCAACCUCACUUAACAUAAGUUAAUCCCUAACUAACUAACCUUUAAAUAACUAUCUCUAACCACCUUCUUCAACAUAUCCAAUGCCAGUUGUAACUGAGAUUUAAUAGUGUUAAUAACACUUAACUACCUUCCACUGCCAGAAUUUAACAGGGUGAGCUCUCUAACCAUUUUCUGUUAACUUGACACUUCUAUAUAAACAUCAUUUGCACAAAAAUCUCAAAACUGGACUCAUCUUUCGAUCUUCAUCUUAUUCUGUCUCUCAACCUCACAUAAAGCUCUAUUAGGAAGCCACUAGAGCUUCACAUUGAAGCUCCAGUUGUGCUUAAUCUAGGCUUCAUCCUCACACUUUGAUUCACGUAGAGCAUUCAUUCACACAGAAUAAACUCACGCAACAUAGCAACAACAUAAAAUCAAUAGUUUCUCAAUUCUUAUAAUCUACAUAAGUGGGAAGAAGAAGAGGCAUACACAGAGGUGAAAUAUUAAAGGAAGCAUACAAAGGAUUUGUACCUAUUUUUGCCUCCGCGUCGAAACCGGUAAGUCUCUUUUCUUGCUUCAAUCCACUUUUAUCGUUUGAACGGAAUUCUUGAAUUCCAAAACAAGAAGCUUUGUGAUGAAGAUUCCAUGAAAACGAUGAUGAUGAAUCCUUGAUGCAAAUGAGAUGCGCCACAAGAUGUCGGAUGUGAAAACACGACGAUGUUGAUCCAAAAUGCAUAAUCUGGAAUUCCAAAAUACGAUGUCGAAAUCGGUGAAGACUCAGUGAUGAUAAUGUUGAUCCCUGAACAUGACUUUCUUAUUGCUCUAAAUUGUUUAGGCUGAAGCAUUUCCAUUGGUGAUUCUUUUCAUUCACGUUUUUAGCUUCUUUUGAUAAGCGUUGUUUUGAGUUCAAAUUCAAAUUUCCCCUUUUGGUUAUGUGUGGCAUGGACCGAGUUAUGUGAAUACAUAUGGGCCUAAAGCCCAAACUCAUUUUCCACAACAUCUGCUUGCUGAACAUACC